rnacentral:rRNA from 1 species
CCUACGGGCGGCAGCAGUGGGGAAUUUUGGACAAUGGGGGCAACCCUGAUCCAGCCAUUCCGCGUGAGUGAAGAAGGCCUUCGGGUUGUAAAGCUCUUUCGCAAGGGAAGAAAACUUACUCAAUAACACUGGGUGAGGCUGACGGUACCUUGAUAAGAAGCACCGGCUAACUACGUGCCAGCAGCCGCGGUAAUACGUAGGGUGCGUGCGUUAAGCGGAAUUACUGGGCGUGGUGCGUGCGGAGGCGGGUGAAAUCCCCGGGCGCAACCUGGGAACUGCGUGUGAAACUACAAGGCUAGAGUAUGGCAGAGGGGGGUAGAAUUCCACGUGUAGCAGUGAAAUGCGUAGAGAUGUGGAGGAAUACCAAUGGCGAAGGCAGCCCCCUGGGUCAAUACUGACGCUCAUGCACGAAAGCGUGGGGAGCAAACAGGAUUAGAUACCCGUGUAGUC